UAUGCUAGGCCUGCCUGUGACCUCGUAGAACCCACUCAGCCUCUGGUGAGACCUAACUGUCAGCAUCACACCACGGGAGGAUCCCCAGCUGCUGUAACAAGGCUGGGAUUCUCCAGCCAGGCUGAACCCAGAUUGGUGACUCUGGAUAUGACUGUGACCCUCACUACCAGGAGCUCCUAUGAGAUCCUAGGACAGCUUCAGCAGAGGAAUUUGGAACCCAGCUCAAUAGAGGUGUUUCUCUUCUCCAGACCUUCAAGGAAAAGGAAACUAGAGGCAUGGGUGAUCACUGGAGUUAGUAAGUGUCUGAACCCCGGGUUCUAUACCCUGUGCGCUCAGCUCAUCCGACCCCGCGGACCAGCGUUUCUCAAGUCCUAGAAGCUGGAAACUGGAAGCCACUAAGGGCAUAACCUUUGCCCCAGGGGUCGGACGUCACCACAAGAGAGACAGGAGAAAAAAAUCAAUUGAUGAAAUAGCAUGGCACAAUAUGACUGCAGAGAAAAUGACUCGGACUAUGACCUUGAGAGAGUCGACACGGUGUUAUGCAGGAAAGGUUUCUUGGAGAGGUGACAUGAGUCUGCAGCCCCAUGUGACCCUUGUGAACUACACAUACUCUGUGGGAAGCCGCUUGGAGCAAUGCCAGGAGCAGGUGCAAAGGCCCCGGGGCAGAGUGACUUGCAGGGUGGGUGGCGGCCAGCCAACCCUAGAUUCUCGUUUGCUCUGGGCUUUGCGGAACUGCUGCUGCUGAAGCCGCACCGUGCCUCGCAGGUGGCGAGGACAGACGCCCAGGCUGGCUUGAGGCAGAAGCAUGGCACACUGGGACAUAUUUGGAUGUAAAUAUUUUCAGCAGCGAGAGCAGCUGGGAGAUGGGGCCUCGUCGGGAGCGUCUCUGUGGAAGCCUGGAGUCAGGGCCAGAUGGCUUCCUCCCAAGCUGUACCACCAUCCUCAGGAGGCUGUGAGGCAGGGUGGCGAGGCCAGGCUGUGCCUGUGGAGUUAGCUCCCUGUGCACAAGCUUCUGAGAGUCUAGUAAACAGGCCUGGGUUCCAGCCUGUCCUUGGUUGGAUGCUCCCACCUCCCUUACCUAUUACAGGCUGCACCUGCUGCCCUGGACGUGCAGACUAAGUGAACACACGUGCAAGGAGAGGCCUCAGCAACCCACUAUGGCUGCACACAUUCUUUGACACCGCCUCACUCUUUUCUUCACUUUUUCUCUAACCCUGGUGGAACUGAGGUUAGGAAGAAGUAGGUGCCCACUGAUGUCCUGGUGUGGUAGGCAGAUGGCUCUUGCAGGACCGUCCCCUCAGGCUUCUUCCUGGCCACGUGAGGCAUCUCAGAACUCCUGCCUUUUGUUCCCCCGGGGAUUGAGACUUGGAGUUCUGCUGAGGGCCAAAACAUGGACAGAUGGUACCUGUCACAUCUUCACUCAGGAUGUGCUCUGGGUCAUGCGGUUCAGUGGUGCGCACUCCCCUGGCAUCACAGGAUCCUAAGUCCCUGCCUGGAAAUG